rnacentral:rRNA from 1 species
CCAAUAGCGUAUAUUAAAGUUGUUGCAGUUAAAAAGCUCGUAGUUGAAUUUCGGGGUCAGUAGAUUGGUCGUGCCACUGGUAUGCACUGGUCUUACUGGCUCCUCCUUCCUGAUGAACCGUAAUGCCAUUAAUUUGGUGUUGCGGGGAGACUGGACUGUUACUUUGAAAAAAUUAGAGUGUUUAAAGCAGGCUAACGCUUGAAUACAUUAGCAUGGAAUAAUGAAAUAGGACGUUCGAUCUUAUUUUGUUGGUUUCUAAGAUUGACGUAACGAUUAAUAGGGAUAGUUGGGGGCAUUAGUAUUCAAUUGUCAGAGGUGAAAUUCUUGGAUUUAUUGAAGACUAACUACUGCGAAAGCAUUUGCCAAGGAUGUUUUCAUUAAUCAAGAACGAAAGUUAGGGGAUCGAAGACGAUCAGAUACCGUCGUAGUCUUAACCAUAAACUAUGCCGACUAGGGAUCGGAUGAUGUUAAUUUUCUAAUGACUCAUUCGGCGCCUUACG